CGUAACCGAUGGGAGUCAUACCUUUCGGGGUUUCGGGCUGUUCUAUAACUUCACAGAUCACGUGAUUCGAACGUGCCUGUCGGGUCAGUUCUCCUGCAACAACACUAACUGCGUACCGGGUAACUACCGAUGUGACGGCCAGGAUGACUGCGGUGACGACAGCGACAAAAAGAUCUGUCGGUCUAGUGUUACCACGCAAGAUUUCGG